GACGAACGCUGGCGGCGUGCUUAACACAUGCAAGUCGAACGGAAAGGCCCUGCUUUUGUGGGGUGCUCGAGUGGCGAACGGGUGAGUAACACGUGAGUAACCUGCCCUUUACUUUGGGAUAACUUCAGGAAACUGGGGCUAAUACCGGAUAUGAGCUCCUUCUGCAUGGUGGGUGUUGGAAAGUUUCGGCGGUUGGGGAUGGACUCGCGGCUUAUCAGCUUGUUGGUGGGGUAGUGGCUUACCAAGGCUUUGACGGGUAGCCGGCCUGAGAGGGUGACCGGCCACAUUGGGACUGAGAUACGGCCCAGACUCCUAGGGAGGCAGCAGUGGGGAAUAUUGCACAAUGGGCGGAAGCCUGAUGCAGCAACGCCGCGUGCGGGAUGACGGCCUUCGGGUUGGAAACCGCUUUCGCCUGUGACGAAGCGUGAGUGACGGUAAUGGGUAAAGAAGCACCGGCUAACUACGUG
rnacentral:rRNA from 1 species